GAUUAACGUUGGCGGUGCGUCUAAUACAUGCAAGUCGAGCGGCCCGCAAGGGCAGCGGCGAACGGGUGAGCAAUAUGUUGGAACCUGCCCCGAACUCAGGGAUAUCUCGUCGAAAGACGAGUUAAUACCGGAUGGUCCCGCAAGGGUAAAGAUUUUUCGGUUCGGGAGGGGCCUACAGCCUAUCAGCUAGUUGGUAAGGUAAUGGCUUACCAAGGCGAUGACGGGUAGCCGGUCUGAGGGGAUGAUCAGCCACACUGGGACUGAGACACGGCCGAGACUCCGACGGGAGGCAGCAGUGGGGAAUAUUGGACAAUGGGCGCAAGCCUGAUCCAGCCAUGCCGCGUGAGUGACGAAGGCCUUAGGGUUGUAAAGCUCUUGUGGCGGGGAAGAUAAUGACGGUACCCGCAGAAUAAGCUCCGGCUAACUUCGUGCCAGCCGCCGCGGUAA
rnacentral:rRNA from 1 species